rnacentral:rRNA from 1 species
UUAAGUUAUUAAGGGCGCACGGUGGAUGCCUUGGCACUAGAAGCCGAUGAAGGACGUUACUAACGACGAUAUGCUUUGGGGAGCUGUAAGUAAGCUUUGAUCCAGAGAUUUCCGAAUGGGGAAACCCAACAUGAGUUAUGUCAUGUUAUCGAUAUGUGAAUACAUAGCAUAUCAGAAGGCACACCCGGAGAACUGAAACAUCUUAGUACCCGGAGGAAGAGAAAGAAAAUUCGAUUCCCUUAGUAGCGGCGAGCGAAACGGGAAGAGCCCAAACCAACAAGCUUGCUUGUUGGGGUUGUAGGACACUCUAUACGGAGUUACAAAGGACGACAUUAGACGAAUCAUCUGGAAAGAUGAAUCAAAGAAGGUAAUAAUCCUGUAGUCGAAAAUGUUGUCUCUCUUGAGUGGAUCCUGAGUACGACGGAGCACGUGAAAUUCCGUCGGAAUCUGGGAGGACCAUCUCCUAAGGCUAAAUACUCUCUAGUGACCGAUAGUGAACCAGUACCGUGAGGGAAAGGUGAAAAGCACCCCGGAAGGGGAGUGAAAUAGAACCUGAAACCGUGUGCUUACAAGUAGUCAGAGCCCGUUAAUGGGUGAUGGCGUGCCUUUUGUAGAAUGAACCGGCGAGUUACGAUUUGAUGCAAGGUUAAGCAGUAAAUGUGGAGCCGUAGCGAAAGCGAGUCUGAAUAGGGCGUUUAGUAUUUGGUCGUAGACCCGAAACCAGGUGAUCUACCCUUGGUCAGGUUGAAGUUCAGGUAACACUGAAUGGAGGACCGAACCGACUUACGUUGAAAAGUGAGCGGAUGAACUGAGGGUAGCGGAGAAAUUCCAAUCGAACCUGGAGAUAGCUGGUUCUCUCCGAAAUAGCUUUAGGGCUAGCCUCAAGUGAUGAUUAUUGGAGGUAGAGCACUGUUUGGACGAGGGGCCCCUCUCGGGUUACCGAAUUCAGACAAACUCCGAAUGCCAAUUAAUUUAACUUGGGAGUCAGAACAUGGGUGAUAAGGUCCGUGUUCGAAAGGGAAACAGCCCAGACCACCAGCUAAGGUCCCAAAAUAUAUGUUAAGUGGAAAAGGAUGUGGCGUUGCCCAGACAACUAGGAUGUUGGCUUAGAAGCAGCCAUCAUUUAAAGAGUGCGUAAUAGCUCACUAGUCGAGUGACACUGCGCCGAAAAUGUACCGGGGCUAAACAUAUUACCGAAGCUGUGGAUUGUCCUUUGGACAAUGGUAGGAGAGCGUUCUAAGGGCGUUGAAGCAUGAUCGCAAGGACAUGUGGAGCGCUUAGAAGUGAGAAUGCCGGUGUGAGUAGCGAAAGACGGGUGAGAAUCCCGUCCACCGAUUGACUAAGGUUUCCAGAGGAAGGCUCGUCCGCUCUGGGUUAGUCGGGUCCUAAGCUGAGGCCGACAGGCGUAGGCGAUGGAUAACAGGUUGAUAUUCCUGUACCACCUAUAAUCGUUUUAAUCGAUGGGGGGACGCAGUAGGAUAGGCGAAGCGUGCGAUUGGAUUGCACGUCUAAGCAGUAAGGCUGAGUAUUAGGCAAAUCCGGUACUCAUUAAGGCUGAGCUGUGAUGGGGAGAAGACAUUGUGUCUUCGAGUCGUUGAUUUCACACUGCCGAGAAAAGCCUCUAGAUAGAAAAUAGGUGCCCGUACCGCAAACCGACACAGGUAGUCAAGAUGAGAAUUCUAAGGUGAGCGAGCGAACUCUCGUUAAGGAACUCGGCAAAAUGACCCCGUAACUUCGGGAGAAGGGGUGCUCUUUAGGGUUAACGCCCAGAAGAGCCGCAGUGAAUAGGCCCAAGCGACUGUUUAUCAAAAACACAGGUCUCUGCUAAACCGUAAGGUGAUGUAUAGGGGCUGACGCCUGCCCGGUGCUGGAAGGUUAAGAGGAGUGGUUAGCUUCUGCGAAGCUACGAAUCGAAGCCCCAGUAAACGGCGGCCGUAACUAUAACGGUCCUAAGGUAGCGAAAUUCCUUGUCGGGUAAGUUCCGACCCGCACGAAAGGCGUAACGAUUUGGGCACUGUCUCAACGAGAGACUCGGUGAAAUCAUAGUACCUGUGAAGAUGCAGGUUACCCGCGACAGGACGGAAAGACCCCGUGGAGCUUUACUGUAGCCUGAUAUUGAAAUUCGGCACAGCUUGUACAGGAUAGGUAGGAGCCUUUGAAACGUGAGCGCUAGCUUACGUGGAGGCGCUGGUGGGAUACUACCCUAGCUGUGUUGGCUUUCUAACCCGCACCACUUAUCGUGGUGGGAGACAGUGUCAGGCGGGCAGUUUGACUGGGGCGGUCGCCUCCUAAAAGGUAACGGAGGCGCUCAAAGGUUCCCUCAGAAUGGUUGGAAAUCAUUCAUAGAGUGUAAAGGCAUAAGGGAGCUUGACUGCGAGACCUACAAGUCGAGCAGGGUCGAAAGACGGACUUAGUGAUCCGGUGGUUCCGCAUGGAAGGGCCAUCGCUCAACGGAUAAAAGCUACCCCGGGGAUAACAGGCUUAUCUCCCCCAAGAGUUCACAUCGACGGGGAGGUUUGGCACCUCGAUGUCGGCUCAUCGCAUCCUGGGGCUGUAGUCGGUCCCAAGGGUUGGGCUGUUCGCCCAUUAAAGCGGUACGCGAGCUGGGUUCAGAACGUCGUGAGACAGUUCGGUCCCUAUCCGUCGUGGGCGUAGGAAAUUUGAGAGGAGCUGUCCUUAGUACGAGAGGACCGGGAUGGACAUACCUCUGGUGUACCAGUUGUCGUGCCAACGGCAUAGCUGGGUAGCUAUGUGUGGACGGGAUAAGUGCUGAAAGCAUCUAAGCAUGAAGCCCCCCUCAAGAUGAGAUUUCCCAACUUCGGUUAUAAGAUCCCUCAAAGAUGAUGAGGUUAAUAGGUUCGAGGUGGAAGCAUGGUGACAUGUGGAGCUGACGAAUACUAAU